rnacentral:rRNA from 1 species
AUUGAACGCUGGCGGCAGGCCUAACACAUGCAAGUAGAACGAGUGGCGGACGGGUGAGUAAUGUCUGGGAAACUGCCCGAUGGAGGGGGAUAACUACUGGAAACGGUAGCUAAUACCGCAUACCAUCGGAUGUGCCCAGAUGGGAUUAGCUAGUAGGUGGGGUAACGGCUCACCUAGGCGACGAUCCCUAGCUGGUCUGAGAGGAUGACCGGCCAUACUGGAACUGAGACACGGUCCAGACUCCUACGGGAGGCAGCAGUGGGGAAUAUUGCACAAUGGGCGCAAGCCGUAUGCGGACAUACCGCGUGUAUGAAGAAGGCCUUCGGGUUGUAAAGUACUUUCAGCAAGGAGGCGUUACUCGCAGAGGAAGCACCGGCUAACUCCGUGCCAGCCGCCGCGGUAAUUC